rnacentral:rRNA from 1 species
AGGUUACUGCUAUCGGUGUUCGCCUAAGCCAUGCGAGUCAUAUGUUCUUCGUGAACAUGGCGUACUGCUCAGUAACACGUGGAUAACCUGCCCUUGGGUCCGGCAUAACCCCGGGAAACUGGGGAUAAUUCCGGAUAACGCACAUAUGCUGGAAUGCUUUAUGCGUCAAAUGGAUUCGUCCGCCCAAGGAUGGGUCUGCGGCCUAUCAGGUAGUAGUGGGUGUAAUGUACCUACUAGCCUACGACGGGUACGGGUUGUGAGAGCAAGAGCCCGGAGAUGGACUCUGAGACAUGAAUCCAGGCCCUACGGGGCGCAGCAGGCGCGAAAACUUUACAAUGCGGGAAACCGUGAUAAGGGGACACCGAGUGCCAGCAUCAUAUGCUGGCUGUCCGGGUGUGUAAAAUACACCUGUUAGCAAGGGCCGGGCAAGACCGGUGCCAGCCGCCGCGGUAACACCGGCGGCCCGAGUGGUGAUCGUGAUUAUUGGGUCUAAAGGGUCCGUAGCCGGUUUGGUCAGUCCUCCGGGAAAUCUGACGGCUUAACCGUUAGGCUUUCGGGGGAUACUGCCAGACUUGGAACCGGGAGAGGUAAGAGGUACUACAGGGGUAGGAGUGAAAUCUUGUAAUCCCUGUGGGACCACCUGUGGCGAAGGCGUCUUACCAGAACGGGUUCGACGGUGAGGGACGAAAGCUGGGGGCACGAACCGGAUUAGAUACCCGGGUAGUCCCAGCCGUAAACGAUGCUCGCUAGGUGUCAGGCAUGGCGCGACCGUGUCUGGUGCCGCAGGGAAGCCGUGAAGCGAGCCACCUGGGAAGUACGGCCGCAAGGCUGAAACUUAA